CACCCUUUGUAGGCUCUCGAAAGAGUGGUCUACGUUCUAAAGGUACCCUAUGUACUACUAUACACAUUUCAAAGGCCAGAAUGUCGAAUCAAUUACAACUUUCAGCAAUGGAUCUCUUGGCUCUCGCAUCGAUGAAGAACGCAGCGAAUCGCGAUAAGUAAUGUGAAUUGCAGAUUUCCAGUGAAUCAUCGAAUCUUUGAACGCACUUUGCGCUCCUUGGUACUCCGAGGAGCAUGCCUGUUUGAGUGUCAUUUUAUUCUCAACCAUGUCUUGAUUCAUUUCGAGCCAUGGCUUGGACUUGGGAGUUGUCGGCCCUCACGGGUCGACUCUCCUCAAAUGCAUUAGCGAAUGGACCAUCUCAGUGGGUCUGGCGGGCAAACAUAGCCUUUUCGACGUGAUAACAUCGUAUAUCGGAGUCGAGGCAAAGCGCGUCGGGUGUAAGACAUGGUUUCUCUUCGCUUCCAAUCCCUAACCUGCUAAGUUA
rnacentral:rRNA from 1 species